GACGAACGCUGGCGGCGUGCUUAACACAUGCAAGUCGAACGAUGAAGCCGGAGCUUGCUCUGGUGAAUUAGUGGCGAACGGGUGAGUAACACGUGAGUAACCUGCCCUUGACUCUGGGAUAACUGCGGGAAACUGUAGCUAAUACCGGAUACGACCCUCGGAGGCAUCUCCUGGGGGUGGAAAGAAUUUCGGUCAAGGAUGGACUCGCGGCCUAUCAGCUAGUUGGUGAGGUAAAGGCUCACCAAGGCGACGACGGGUAGCCGGCCUGAGAGGGUGAGCGGCCACACGGGGACUGAGACACGGCCCAGACUCCUACGGGAGGCAGCAGUGGGGAAUAUUGCACAAUGGGCGCAAGCCUGAUGCAGCAACGCCGCGUGAGGGACGACGGCCUUCGGGUUGUAAACCUCUUUUAGUAGGGAAGAAGCGAAAGUGACGGUACCUGCAGAAAAAGCACCGGCUAACUACGUGCCAGCCGCCGCAGUAA
rnacentral:rRNA from 1 species